rnacentral:lncRNA from 1 species
AUGUACAGGUCGAGUGACUUCUCCAAGGGAAGGGCACCCAGAUUCCUUGCCCUCAGAUCACUCACACACUUUGUUAUUUGGAUGGCACCCCUGACCUCUGUCUCGUUCCAUGCUACUCCUGUGAAGAUCUGCACCAUGGUCCCCCAUUUCCAUCUCUGUGCGUGGUCCACCAUCCAUCCAGUUUUGCAAGCCAGGUCCCUGGACAAGGUUUUCCACUCCUCAGGUUAUCGGAGGCUUCAGUGCCAGUAGAAAACCAGGCUGAAGCCCUCUCAAGG